rnacentral:lncRNA from 1 species
CUCUAUCUCUCUAACAGAUGCUCUCUGACCAUUCAUCUCUCUAGAACCUUCUGGUUCCCUCCGUCUUCUCCUAUGAUGACCAUCGCCUCUCCGACUCACUCUUCCCUCGCUUCUCUCGACCUCCAGCAACCAUGGAGUCCUUGUAUCGCUGUUUUCUCUAAAAAGAUUGAAGCCAGCAGCUUCCGCCAUGAAAGAGGUCACCGAAGCUUUAUUUGGGUCUGUUUUUGGCUUUUCUCCACUGGUCUUUGUACGAUGAUGCCUUCUAUGGAAUUGUAUACGAGUUUCACAGCCAGGUUCUUCGUUUUCCCUAAUUUGUUUGAAAACCCC